ACCUGGGGAAGAGCACAUGUUGGGAGCAGGCCUGGGGAGGCAGAGGCAGCGCAGAUCUCCAUGGGGAGCCACGUCUCCUUGGAAACAUGACUGACUUGCUCGAAAAUUUCCCUUGGCUCCCUGUGGCCCUCAGAGCAAAGACUGUGUUCUUAACCUGGUGGCAGUUCCCUGAGGUCCAUCUCCUGCCCCCCGCACAUCUCAUCUCCAGCCUCUCCUUCACUCCAAGCCCCACACUCCAGUGUCCUAAACACACCCAGGGCCUCUGGCCUUGCAUGGCUACCUUCUCUGCUGGGGAGAAAACUCCCAGGUGUCCCCCAGGGCCCUCUGGAGAACAAUACAGGGGCUGGCAUCGCCUCCUCCUGGAAGGCUUCUCCAUUCUCCGGAGGGGCCGGAUGCCUCCUCUGGUGCCCCCAGAACCUUGUAGGACUCCAGAAUAGCCCAAAUCACUCUCUCACCCCACAAUUGUCACCGCCACAGCCUGGACACCUUCACAAGCAGAGGAUUUCUGCGGGGGUGCCCACAACCCACCCAGGAGCCCGGAGAGAUAGCCAGACUGCAAACCCCAUAGACCCUGCCAGGCGGAACCUGGGCCGGGGACAGCGCUGCACCCCGAUCCACGCGCCUGAGACUGGAAGGCCAGCAACGGACAGUCACCUUGACUAUGGCCAGCAAAGUCUGUGGAGCCUUGACCACUGAGGUUCACAGAGCCCCUCCCACAACAAAGCCUCCCACUGUUUGCUUUCUCAGCCUUCCUUGUGGAUCUGUCUCUGGCCAGUGGGAGCCAAGAUGCCACCUCUGGAGAGUUUAAAAGGAGGAAAAUUCCUGAUAAAAAAGGGCACCUACAUAAGUGACCACCACCCUAUUCAGGCCAGUCUUUGAAGGCUGUGGAAGGAGAACACUGUAUCUGGAGCUCUGAUAGCCAACUAGGGCCAUGAGGGGAGUCACAGAGACACCUGUCCACGAGGCUGCUGAGCCAGCCCCAGCAAAGCCAUCCCGUGUCUUGUGGGGUGAAUGGGAUAUUUCACCAACGUUUACAUAACAUAAUGAGAGUCAACACUGCCUUCCGCCAGUGUUUGCAGCCCUCUGCCUCUUGGGCACACAGCAGGAUCGCAUGGCUGGGUGUAGCCAUGCAGCUGGCUCUGACCAGGGGACUGCGAGGUACCCCUUCCAGGAUGGACUGUUUAACUGCCAGGGAAGAGCUCUUGCCCCCUGCCACAAGGAAUGUAGCUGCUCUAGCAGCAUGCUUCCCUGACCAAUCACGACGAACAGAGCUCCUCAGUCAACCUGCAACACAAGGAGCGAAACCAGUCCCAAAAAACUGGAGCUCCAGAAGCCUUUUUGGACCACAAGGCAGCUGUGAGGAUGGCAGAGCAAUGCUGGAAGGAAGCCAGGUUGGUGGUGACACAUGGCCUUUUCAACCGCAGAGGCAGGCGUUUCUAUGCAGGUGAAGCCGCUGUCACUUCUGUUUCUAUCCCACACAGCCGAAAACAACUCCUCGCUGAUGCAGAGUGUCUGGGAAAUGUCUUGCUUUUCCCAAUGAGCAGAAGAGAUGUGACUGGCACCCUGCUCGCCCCCCUCUUCCUGCCUUAAAAGGAGGUGCAGCUGAACAAGUCAUCUAAAGGUGACCAGGGCAUGCACAGGAGGGUCUCAGUGAUCCAGGCCCUGACAUCACCGGCCAAGGCCAGCAGCUCCAUCUCUCUGAGUGUCUCGUGAGAGGAGAGGAAAAAAUUUGUCUCCUGAACUUGUCACCAGCCUGAUUUUGUGUUUCUUGGAGCCUUGUGUUCCUUGUAUCCUGCGUGCAUACGUGCCUUUUCCACUGAAGCCUGCCUCAGUGGGUAUCUGUUAAUCAAGGAUGAGAGGACGGAGGAGGACAGCCACAUUUUCAAGAAAGGCACUCAGCUGGCCUGUGAGGCUGAUGAAAAAUGCAAAAUGCUGGUUGCUUCUUCCUCAACCCUGGGAAGCCAGGUGUUCCUCAGCAGAAUUCUGGAAUUUCCAUUUGUUACCCACUCCCAGGUUAUUCAAAGCCCCACUGCCCCAGGUGAGGCUUCCUUCUCUCUCCCUGACCCAUCAUUCUAACCUCCCUGACCUCCCAGCCUCCAUCCUCCCUCCAUUUGGCCUUCUGCCCAUCCCCCGCAUGGGUUUCCCAACGGAGCUUUCCACAUCCACACCCUUCUCCUCCCAUAGUUCCCCCGGGGAACUCCAGAACACAGUCCAAGCUUCUCAGCUGUGCAUUUCAAGCCCAACCACCAUCCCAGCAAACCCCCUCUACAGAGACAUCCCAUCUCCUCCUAUAUCCUGAAAUGCUCUUCCUCCUGCUGUCCCUGAAAUACCUUCUUGCCCCCUUCUCAUCAUUGAGUUUCAGCGCUAAUACCUGCUCCCUCCAGAAAGGGGCAUGCCUUUGAAACCACAGAGUCCAGGUUCAAACCCCAGUUCCAACACUUCCUAGCUUUCUGACCUUACAAAAGGGGCUUCCAAUCAUUGUGCCUCAGUUUCCCAAAAUAGAAUGAGUGUGAAGACUGAGGCAGGGUCUGGGGUAAACUCAUCUCCAGGUCCCAGCACAGGGCCUGGUGAUGAAAAGUCUGUAACAAUCUCUAAUAAAAGCCUCAGGAGUCUCAUAACGAAAA